UAACGAGUAGUGUAGACUGUGAAAAAAGAGGGUAGAUUUAACAGUGGAAAAAAGGGCUGCUCAGUUGGCAGAAUUUUACAGUAAAAAUUAAAAGUAGUCCUGUCUUCCCAUUAAAAUUCCUGCUGAGCUGCUAGUUUUUUGUUGUUGUUGUUUUUUAUACUUUUUAUACUUGUGUACUAUUUCUUAAGUUGUUGUUUUUUUAUUGUUAUUUCUCCCUGUCCAUGCCCCACGUUGCCAAGGAAACAGCACGUGACUGACAUGACAUGCCUCAUCUUGGCAGUAAUUUGAGGCACAGAUGUCAGAUCUAAGCACCGUGACUUCAAUAAUCACACAUUUGGGUGACUUUUAUCACCCGUGCAGGUGGGAAACAGCAGUUUGGCCAACUCAGUCUCCAAGGAGCGCGUUAACCCUGGGGACCGGAGGCAAGGAGUAGCAGCUGGAGAUGGACUCUCCCUCGGUUCCUGUCCCAAUUAAUUAGCAUGGACAAAGAUGUUUACACAAACACACGUCUGUCCCUUGCACACGGACUCCGACCUACACGGCAAGGUUUGUCACACCACGCAUUGUUUGCUAUUUAACUAUUUCGUGAUUUGUGUGUUUAUUUUCCAACUAAAUGCCUGCCAGGCAUUCAGAGCCAUGAUGGACUGCAAAUGUAAAAGGUGACAGGGUUUUAUUUCACACAUCCUGUAAUUCUGUGCCCGCCAUCUGCUUGAAAGCUGUUUUUAAAAUCCCUAUCACUGGAUUAUUGUGGUAUUAUUCACAAUAGUGUAAUUUUCUAUAUCACCAUUUUAAAUGCAUGUCAUUAUUACUUACUGUACUGUAUUUUAUUAGCCUGUAUCCAAUACGAUUUUAGUCAUGGAUGUUGUCAGCUGAACAUCCUAACAUCUUUUUGGCAAACAACAGUUAAUCGGAGGGAGUGAACCAUUUCAUCCUGCUUGUUAAAAUGGUUAACUUUUUAAAGGCCUACUGAAACCCACUACUACCGACCACGCAGUCGGAUAGUUUAUAUAUCAAUGAUGAAAUAUUAACAUUGCAACACAUGCCAAUACA